rnacentral:rRNA from 1 species
CCUACGGGAGGCAGCAGUGAGGAAUAUUGGUCAAUGGGCGGAAGCCUGAACCAGCCAAGUCGCGUGAGGGACUAAGGCCCUACGGGUCGUAAACCUCUUUUGCCGGGGAUCAGUGCCCAGCUCGCGAGCUGGGAGGGAGCGUACCCGGAGAAAAAGCAUCGGCUAACUCCGUGCCAGCAGCCGCGGUAAUACAGAGGUCUCAAGCGUUGUUCGGAAUCACUGGGCGUAAAGCGUGCGUAGGCUGUUUCGUAAGUCGUGUGUGAAAGGCGCGGGCUCAACCCGCGGACGGCACAUGAUACUGCGAGACUAGAGUAAUGGAGGGGGAACCGGAAUUCUCGGUGUAGCGGUGAAAUGCAUAGAUAUCACGAGGAACCCCGAUUGCGAAGGCAGCCUGCCGGGGUGCGACUGACGCUGAGGCUCGAAGGUGCGGGUAUCAAACAGGAUUAGAUACCCGAGUAGUC